rnacentral:rRNA from 1 species
CUUGCUUUCUUUUGCUGGCGACCGGCGCACGGGUGAGUAACACGUAUCCAACCUGCCCUUUACUCGGGGAUAGCCUUUCGAAAGAAAGAUUAAUACCCGAUAGCAUAAUGAUUCCGCAUGGUUUCAUUAUUAAAGGAUUCCGGUAAAGGAUGGGGAUGCGUUCCAUUAGGUUGUUGGUGGGGUAACGGCCCACCAAGCCUUCGAUGGAUAGGGGUUCUGAGAGGAAGGUCCCCCACAUUGGAACUGAGACACGGUCCAA